CUCACCGCUCCUUCCUCAGACACGGCUAAGAUCUCUGGAGAAGGCAAAGGUGCGGUCUAGAAUAUGAGACUGCUGGGUCUUCUCCUGUGCCUGGUGGCAGGUCCCCAUGGUGUCCUGUCGGUGCAGCUGGAGGAGUCCGGACCCAGCCUGGUCAAGCCCACAGAGACCCUGACCCUCACCUGCACGGUCUCCGAUUUCUCUAUCACCACCAGUGGUUACUGGUGGAGCUGGAUCCGUCAGCCACCAGGAAAGAGCCUGGAGUGGAUGGGGUACAUAAGCUACAGUGGUAGCACUAGCUACAACCCAUCCCUCCAGAGCCGCAUCUCUAUCUCCAGAAUCACAGCCAGUAAUAAGUUCUCGCUGCAGCUGAACUCGGUCACCACGGCCGACACGGCCACAUAUUACUGUGCAAGAAGCACAGUGGUUUGA